rnacentral:lncRNA from 1 species
CAAGAACCCACAAUGGAAAAUGUAGAACGAGGCCAAAGGUUUCCAAACGAGUGAUGGAGCUCAAUGGCAUCAGCAUAAGGUGCAGAAUACAGUGGACAACACUUGAUCUCAAAAUCCCCAGGCAUUUCAGCGGAUAACAUGAGAUGAUGAAACUCAUUGUUUUUAGCGGAUAAACCCAUGUGAGUCUUGACAAAUUUGGGACUGGAAAUUAGAAAGCGCCAUGAUUUGCAAACAGACCUGAAUCGCAAGAGAGAUUUCACAGGUAGUCGUUCCAGUAUCUUGGUGAUGAUUCCGAUAUCAAGGUAGGGCAACGGGGCUGAGUCGUCGUGUUCAAUUCUUCUUCUUCGCUCGGCAGGUUGACCCUCCGCUAACCUAGAUCUUGAAUGUGUCUAGGAUUUAUUGGUUCCAUUCUUACUCUUCGCUCGCCAGCUUGAUCCUCCUCCAACCCAACCCAACCCAACCCAACCCUAGAUUUCGGUGUGACUAAGGUUUCCUGCUCAACUCUACUAAUUUAUAAAGGAAAAUUAAAAGAAAUUUGCAAAUUUACUUUUUAUUUGUCAUUAUAAAAAAGAAAAAAUCAUUCACAACGAUGGAUACUUAACCAGAGUUGUAAACCAACUAGACCGUGUGAAUGAUAUCCAACUCAAUUAUGUCCAAUUUGAGUAAACCCCACCUUUUUAGUAAUUCAUUAAUUACUUUUUAAAAAAUAAAUAUUAUGAUAAAACUAAACGAUUAAAUUCGACUAGGUUCGGUUAACUUAAACUCGACUUGAGCUCAAUUCGUUUAUUUAACAUGGCUGACUUCAUACAUUAAGAUGAUGUUUGAUAAAAUUGGAUAAUUAAUAUCUGAAUGAUUAAUACAUUUUUAAUAAAUUAAAUCAUCCGAAUAAAAUAUUAUCUGAAUUUAAAAAUUGUCUGAUAACUAAAAGAUGUAAAACAUCUGAAUGACACUAUUUUAUCAUUUUAACACUUUAAGUUAUUUAAAAUUUUAUUUGAAUGAUCUUAAAAUUUAAAAUUGAAGGAGUACAAUAUUUAUUGAGGUUAUUUUUGUCCAUAAAUUUUAAAUAAACUAUUAAGAGGCAACUCUUAAUAGUUAAGAUUUGAGUUUUUGUCCUAACGAUUAAGAGACAAAAAAAAAUUAUCAAACAAGAUUUACCUUUGACCAAAUCAAAGACAUGUGAAUUAAGAAGCAUUCAGACACAAACAAACACCACCUAAAUCUCAAAUUUGAUUAAACAACAACUCGACUCGUUUAACUUUUAAAUGAGUUCUAACUUGGCAAGUUAAUGUCCGACUUGACUCGACUUGUUCACAACUCUAAAUUGGAGUGUGUUAUUCCCAAAUGCACAAAGAGAUCUAAAAGGGGUGGUUAAAUAAAUCUUUUAAAACUGGUUUAGAGAUUUAUUACCAAUGUUAAAUUAAGCAAAUUAAUUUAUUAAUUAUGCACAGCAGAAUGAUGUUUUGAAACACUCCUUCAGAUUAAUAAUAAGUUUUAAAUUUAGUGUAAGAAAGUGUAGACAAAUCACAGGAAUAAAACGAAGAUAAAUUUAAAUGCAAAACGUGGAGCAGAAACUAAGUGCAAUAAAGUAAACGACACAAAUAUUCUUUAGAGAUUUGGAGUACAAAAGUCUUAUAAUCAUCUCUUAUACUGCGAGAGUGAAUAUUACACUAAGAAAGGGUAAUCACUCGUAUUACAGUUCACUGAUAACUGUUUACAAUUGAUUCAGUAAGAAUCUUUCAAGUCACACAUAUUUAGAAUAUACACAGAUCACCAAGAUUGAAUCAGAAAGAAAUUGAAUGAUUUAAGACGUUGCUAAGUAAUAUUAAGUUUAUUGAUUACAGGACUUAGUAGCAGUUCAGAUUUCUAAAUCGUAGAGUUAGUAGAUUAUGAGCUCAAACAUACAACACUUGGACUUGGUUAAUUUAUUUAUGUAUGUCUCCUUUGAUUGUUUGAGGUUGCUCGCCUUUUAUAGUUUCACCUUGAGAUCUUCCCUUUGUGAUUUAAUUGUUAUUUCAUUUUGACUUGGACACCUGUCGAUUUCUAAUUAUUUAACUUUUAAAUGUUGUCGACUAUGACCAUUUCAGGUCGCUUUAUCGUACUCUGCCUAAUGCAUAUGUAGCCGCGUGUUGUUGUCCUUAGUAGAUAUAGUUGUUAGACACAAUUUCAGGAAUAUCUUAUCCUUAUCGACAACCUUUGGGAGAAUCAUCCUUGUGAUCUUCAGUCUUAGGUGUAAGACAUUGUCAUAACUUGCAACGCUUCCAACUCCAGGACCCGGUGCAUUACUAUACAACCUUCAUAUGAAUAUUUAUAACAUUUAUUCAUAAAAUAAUGAAUACAGCCUCACUUUGAUACCAAUUAAUACAUUAAUUCCUUCUAUUUUUAAAAUCCGUAACCCUUACAGCCUGAUGCUACACUUUUAAAUCAUAUUGAUUUAAAUUAUACAUUUCAAGUUAUAAAUAAUAUUUUUCACUUGAAUAUAUUGAUUUUAAGUAUCCAUGAACUCACAACUACACUUAAUUAUUCUUAUAUACAAUGUUUUUCGACUAUGCAUUUACAAUAUGUCAUAUAAACGUUAUCUAGCAUAGUUAGAGCUAUAUGAAUAACUUCAAUAAGUACUUCUUCCUUUUUCAUUUGUCUAUCCCGAAUCUUUUGAUCCGCUCUGGUUUAGCUGAAAACAAUUAUUUCUAGCAAGGGUGAACAACUACGUUGCCCAACAGGUUUAACAGUUAUCACAUAACACAUUUUAAACACAACUUAAAUUAUUCAUGCUUCGCAGUUUAUACAUAAUUCAUAUUUUUAAUACAUUGCAUUUAUCCAGGCAUCAUAAUGCUCAUACUCAACAAUUAUACCUGCUUCAUGCUUAUCAUAUACCUCAUAUCAUGAAUAUAGUAAGUUUACAUAACUCAAUCCACAUCAAUCAUUAACUUGAUUUAAUAGAUUUAUAUCACAGUAUAGCACAUAAUGCACUUCUCAAUUUAUUCACAAUGAGUACAUAUAAUACAGGGGCUAUGUACACGUUACAAUUAACAAGUUCACAUAUAAAAACGAGUUCUGAAAAACUUGACUGUACUGGUGUUUUGCCAUUACGCUAACAUGUCGUGUUCCUCUGCAUGACCUACACGGUAUAUGAGAUUGAUAAUAAACACAAUCAAUACUUGAUCUCAUGGUUAACCUUACUUUAAUAACCUACUUUAACUUAUAUUGCCUUUGUACCACCUUUAUAUUCAAUUUCGCUAUUUAUAUAACUCAACUUUAUUUCCCUUUUCAUCGCUACAUGUGUUAGCUUAUCGCACUUGUAGUUUACUGUGUGUGUACCACACCACUACAACAUACCAUAUUUGGUUAAGCAUUACUCAUCCAAGUUAUUUAGACUUAGAUUAGGCAUAUACCCUUCGUUCAUCACUUUGUGAUCAUACACACAUGGUAUACAUUGCAUACUUAGUUCUUAUACAUUCUCAAAUAUAUUCAUUUUGGUCCAAUCAUAACAUGAUACAAAUCAUUGGUCAUUAUACACUUCAUCUUAUGUUAUGCUGUGACAUUUUUAGGAAUCAAAUCUCAUUAUUCCAGGCACUACUUAUAUUUCCAACCAAGGCACAACAAAUCGAGAUAUGACCAAUUUGAGUUGCAAUUUUUUUUUCCACAUGUUAGAAACAUCAUUCGCAUUAGUUAGUACUCAUAUCAUUUAAAUGUGGAGCUCGAUUCGUGAUUCAAAAAUUAACUUACUGCCAAUACACGAUGGAUAUCAUCUUCAUUCUCAAACAACCAGAAUUUAAAUAAAUGCAAACUACAAUGCAUUACGAAACAAACAUCUGGUGUACAAGUCACUCCUUGUACAUCCUUUCACGAAUUUAAAACAAGAACCCACCCAUUGCAAGAACCCACAAUACAAAGUGAAGCACGAGAACUAGGGGAGUGAAGGAGCUCAAUGUCAUCAACAUAGGUGCAGAAUACAGUGGACAACACUUGAGCUCAAAAUCUUCAGGCAUAUCAGCGGAUAACAUGAGACAAUGAAACACAUUGUUUUUAGCGGAUAAACCCAUGGUGGGUUUUGACAAAUUUGGGACUGGAAAUUAGAAAGCGCCAUGAUUUACAAACAGACCUGAAUCGCAAGAGAGAUUUCACAGGAAGGCGUUCCAGUAUCUUGGUGAUGAUUCCAAUAGGAAGGUAAGGAAAUGGGAUUGAAUCGUCGCUUUCAAUUUCUUCUUCUUCGUUCGGCAUUUUGAUCCUCCGUUAACCCUAGAUCUUCGUUGUGACUAAGAUUUUUUUUCUGCGGAGUAGGAGCAUCUCCACAGUGCCGGCGUGCACAAAUGACUAUUUUAG